AGAGUUUGAUCAUGGCUCAGAUUGAACGCUGGCGGCAGGCCUAACACAUGCAAGUCGAACGGUAACAGGAAGAAGCUUGCUUCUUUGCUGACGAGUGGCGGACGGGUGAGUAUGUCUGGGAAACUGCCUGAUGGAGGGGGAUAACUACUGGAAACGGUAGCUAAUACCGCAUAACGUCGCAAGACCAAAGAGGGGGACCUUCGGGCCUCUUGCCAUCGGAUGUGCCCAGAUGGGAUUAGCUAGUAGGUGGGGUAACGGCUCACCUAGGCGACGAUCCCUAGCUGGUCUGAGAGGAUGACCAGCCACACUGGAACUGAGACACGGUCCAGACUCCUACGGGAGGCAGCAGUGGGGAAUAUUGCACAAUGGGCGCAAGCCUGAUGCAGCCAUGCCGCGUGUAUGAAGAAGGCCUUCGGGUUGUAAAGUACUUUCAGCGGGGAGGAAGGGAGUAAAGUUAAUACCUUUGCUCAUUGACGUUACCCGCAGAAGAAGCACCGGCUAACUCCGUGCCAGCAGCCGCGGUAAUACGGAGGGUGCAAGCGUUAAUCGGAAUUACUGGGCGUAAAGCGCACGCAGGCGGUUUGUUAAGUCAGAUGUGAAAUCCCCGGGCUCAACCUGGGAACUGCAUCUGAUACUGGCAAGCUUGAGUCUCGUAGAGGGGGGUAGAAUUCCAGGUGUAGCGGUGAAAUGCGUAGAGAUCUGGAGGAAUACCGGUGGCGAAGGCGGCCCCCUGGACGAAGACUGACGCUCAGGUGCGAAAGCGUGGGGAGCAAACAGGAUUAGAUACCCUGGUAGUCCACGCCGUAAACGAUGUCGACUUGGAGGUUGUGCCCUUGAGGCGUGGCUUCCGGAGCUAACGCGUUAAGUCGACCGCCUGGGGAGUACGGCCGCAAGGUUAAAACUCAAAUGAAUUGUCGGGGGCCCGCACAAGCGGUGGAGCAUGUGGUUUAAUUCGAUGCAACGCGAAGAACCUUACCUGGUCUUGACAUCCACGGAAGUUUUCAGAGAUGAGAAUGUGCCUUCGGGAACCGUGAGACAGGUGCUGCAUGGCUGUCGUCAGCUCGUGUUGUGAAAUGUUGGGUUAAGUCCCGCAACGAGCGCAACCCUUAUCCUUUGUUGCCAGCGGUCCGGCCGGGAACUCAAAGGAGACUGCCAGUGAUAAACUGGAGGAAGGUGGGGAUGACGUCAAGUCAUCAUGACCCUUACGACCAGGGCUACACACGUGCUACAAUGGCGCAUACAAAGAGAAGCGACCUCGCGAGAGCAAGCGGACCUCAUAAAGUGCGUCGUAGUCCGGAUUGGAGUCUGCAACUCGACUCCAUGAAGUCGGAAUCGCUAGUAAUCGUGGAUCAGAAUGCCACGGUGAAUACGUUCCCGGGCCUUGUACACACCGCCCGUCACACCAUGGGAGUGGGUUGCAAAAGAAGUAGGUAGCUUAACCUUCGGGAGGGCGCUUACCACUUUGUGAUUCAUGACUGGGGUGAAGUCU
rnacentral:rRNA from 1 species